rnacentral:lncRNA from 1 species
UUUUUUUUUUUUUUUUUUUAAUGGCAGUACCCUUAGCAUAUGGAAGUUCCUGGGCCAGAUGCUGAAUCCAAGCCACAGCUGUGAUCUACACCAAAGCUGUGGCAACACUGGAUCCUUUAACCCACUCCACUGGUCCAGGGAUUGAACCUGUGUUUUUGCUGCACCCUCAGUCGCUGCAGUCGGAUUCUUAACCCACUGAGCCAAGCGGGAACUCCCAGUUUGGAUUCUUUGAAAACGUAAAAAUGGGUUUCUUCAGACAAAGACCUUCAGGGGAAUUCCCACCUCCCUUUUAAAUCUAUGAUCCAUGUGGCCGCGGGAAGAGAUUAUUUUAUAUUCUUAAAUCCAAAUUAAUAAAUGACUACUGCCUAUUUAAAAUUAAAGCAUUUUGGCCUGUUGGCGGCCCUCCAUCUCCCUCAGCCUGACCCUGGAGGGAGCCCCCCUCCGCCCCAGGCUGUGUCUGUGAGCCGAGGCUCCUUUGGCGGAGCCAGGCUGGUUUGGCGCCUGCCUUGCGGAGGCUCGCUGGGAACCGCGCUCGCUCGGGCUGUCGCCUCCGCCUCUUUGGGGCUUGCUGCCCGCCCACCCCCACCUUAAAAGGGCAAUGCCAGGCGACGGGCCCCGCCCGGGGCAGGGGGUUGCAGGCGGGCCUCUGCUAGGCUCGCCAACCGGGCGCGCGCUGCCCCCGCACGUGCUCCAGGGCGGAAGGUCCAGGCCUGCGCUAGCCUGCCCGGGCAGGCCUUGCAGAGCCACUUCUUUCUCGUCUACCCCGACCCUCCCCGAGAAGCAGAGCAGCUUCCCGUGGCCCGGUGCCGGCCACGUUUCCUUCCCACCCCACCGCACCGCACCCUACCCUUCUCUCUCGCCCCUCCCCGGGAGGCCGUGCCUCCGCCACACCCCCUCCUCGGGUUUAAGAACUUGGGCUGGACAGUUUCACAUCAGAUGAUGGGAAAAUCGAGGGCUUAACGGCUGAAUUUGUGAACUUGGAGUUCGUCAGUUUAAUAAAUGUAGGCUUGAUUUCAGUUUCAAAUCUCUCCAAAUGACCUAAAUUGAAAAAGCUUGAGCUCAGUGAGAGUAAAAUCUAUGGAAGUCUGGAUAUGUUAGCAGAAAAACUUCCAUAUCUCACAUACCUGAAUUGAAGUGGAAAUAAACGGAAAGAUAUCAGCACCCUGCAACCUUUGAACAACUUGGACUGUCUGAAAAGCCUGGAUCUGUUUAACUGUGAGGUUACUAAGCUGAAUAAUUAUCGAGGGGGUGUCUUCAAGCAGAACCCACCUGGAUGGCUGUGAUAGAGAGGAUCUUAAAGCCUCUGUCUCAGAUGCCAAGGUGGAUGGUAUGGAUGAAGAGGAGGAAGAUGAAGAAGGAGAAGAUGAAGGCAAGGAGGAGGAGGAUUGUAACGAAGAAGGGUUUGAUGAUGAAGAGGAUGAAGUCAGGGGGGGAGGAAGAAGAAUUUGGACAGGAUGAAGAAGUUGAUGAAGACAGUGAGUAUGAAGAUGAGGAUGAAGAGGAGGAAGAAAUCAGGAAAGAUGAAAAGAAGAAAAGAGAAAUAGAAGAUGAAGAAGAUGAUUAAGACCCCGAAUAACCUACAAAAAAGAACAAAAAAGUAGCUGUGAUACAAAUUCCAGGACACCCACCCACCCAAAGAGCCAAAGAAUAGUUCCUAUGACAUUCUGCCUUCCUCCAUUUAGUCUGUCUUGGAAAGCCACCACCAAGACUUCACCCCAACAAAAUUGUUGGCAUUGUUAGGUUUUCAACAUUAAGGCUCUUGCUAUAGCGUGGAGAGCUGUGAUUGGUGAGUCAACCCUCUGUGGCUACCAGUUACACCAAGACCGUAACCAGCAUUUUUACUUUCUGUACAACAAAGAAGCUUUGUAAGUAAAAUCUUAACAUUUGGGGUGUGUUUUUUUUAUGCUUUUUUUUUAAUGAAAUUUUUUUACGUUAGAACAUUUUAUGUGACAACUGCCAAAAAAGUAUUUUUAAGAAUAAAAUAAAUGAAAUAAACUUUCCUCCUUGGUAAAAAAUAAAAUAAAAUUACAGUAUUUUAUUUUUAAUGAUCUGUGCCAAUACAAGUUUCGGAGUGGAGGAUAUAUAUUUUUACUACAAUUUUAUUGAUGAAUGGAGUUAGAGUUUUUACAAUACAUAAAUUGAAGGCAAAAUUGAAUUUACCCCAAAGAUAACUAAGCUUAAGCUUCAAGGGCCCUAAUUUUGAAAGAGCAAUAUCUGGUCACAUUUUCCUAAAGAGGAUCACAAAUUUGCAUUAUGUUUAAGCCCCAUAGAACUUGAGUCCACCAUUGACUGGGAUAGUUUGUUGGAAUUGCAUAAGUGUUUAAUAAUCCUAGUACUUUCUUUAAAAUACAUAUAUUUGGUCAUAUUAUUCUGCUAUUUUCUACAUCUUAGGUGUGAUAGACUAUUUUAUUUGCUCACAAUUUUUCAUUCCUCUCCACUUAAGCCAUGCUUCCUUGCAGUGCAACAUACUUCCUGUCCCUACUGAUUUUGGACUUGCUUUCAAUAAAAGAUGAGCAGACAAGAAGUAUGCUAUGUCCCCAGCAGAAAGUUACCCUGUCCUAGUGCAGUUUGGCUCUGUUUCUCAACUUCUGCCCUCCACUCAGUGUAUUGCAUGCGUUAAAGAACAAGUGUUGUUUCUACCUGGGUCUCAGAAUGAGAAGACACACAGAGCACAGCCAAGUUCAGCAUAAGCUCAGUUGACCUACAGUCCUUAUGUAAUGUUAGCAAGAAAUAAAUGUUUGUAGUUGCAUUGAGAUUUGGUCAUUAUUUGUCACUGUAGCAAAAGCCAGAGUGAUUGUCAUUCUGCCUACUUUUUCAUUUUACCAUAUGUUAUCUAUCAUCUCUCUAUCUAUCCAUCCAUCCACAGUAAUAUUUUCCUGAAUUUGCAGGAUGUGUAUUAUACUCUGGUUGCCUUUAACUAGCAUACUUAUUGAUGGUUGCCAAGGACUGAGUCAUUAAAUUCAUACCUUCUCUUCCCUGGAGACCGUCCCUUGUAAAUGCUUUUUUCUGUUCUUUUUUAAAAAGUAUAUUAGCAGGUUUUCACAAGGAAGGCAGCUUACACCACUAGGGACUUCAAAUUUCAAGUCUGUAUUACAUGCUCGCCACUUUCUGAAAAUGCAAAAUACAUCUUUGUCUGUUUUCUUGAAGUUAUUUUAUAAAAUAGGUGGGGUUUGCUUUCUAAUUAUUUUUAAUUAUGCCUCUAUAGAAUUACUGCAAAUUUCCUCUGCUUGUUUAUCUGAAAACCCAUUUUGUGAAGUGAGGCUGUGUCCCCUGAUGGGCACUAUUUACAUUUUAAAGCAUCUAAACACAAGUCUCUUCUGCAGAUCCCCUCCAAUGUGGCCAAAUUAAUGUCAUUUCAAUUUUUGCCAUUCCACUAAAUUUCCCUAAUCAGUGAUAACAGAUGUUAUUUGCAUGUGCGAGUUCAUUAAUAUGUUACUUCCUUAAACACUCAAGCUUUAUCAAGAAAUAUAUCCCAGGAGUUCCUGUCGUGGCUCAGCGGUAACAAACCAGACUAGUAUCCAGGAGGACGCAAGUUUGAUCCCUGGCCUCGCUCAGUAGGUUAAGGAUCCGGCAUUGCCAUGAGCUCAAGGGCAGGGACCGAACCCGCAACCUCAUGGUUCCUAGUCGGAUUCGUUAACCACUGUGCCACGACGGGAACUCCGGAAGUACCUAGUUUUGGUACCAGCAGCAUAUGGAAGUUCACAGCUGUGGCUACAGGGAUCCUUAAACCAGGGCCGGGGAUGGAACCUGAGCCUCCAU